rnacentral:lncRNA from 1 species
GAAUUAUGAAUGAGAGAAAAAUUUGAAGUGAGAGAGAGUUUUAGAUCUAGAAAUGUAAAAAAUGAUUAAUCCCCCUCAAUUCUGUUAGGGUUAGAGUAUUUAUAUGAAGCCUUAAUCACUUUGUUAAUCCAUAAUUAGCUUGGUUAAGUGAAAUGAGGUGUUUUUGCAAAAAUCAAAAGUUGCAUGGUGCAUGUACCAUUUACACGUGAACAAUACUCUUUCUCUCAUCAAAUUCACUUAAAAUCCUCUUUU